AUCCAAAGUACCACGAGACACGAGAAACCUUGUGGGAAUUCGGGGGGACCACCCCCCAAGGCUAAAUACUACUUAGUGACCGAUAGCGCAUAGUACUGUGAAGGAAAGGUGAAAAGAACCCCGGGAGGGGAGUGAAAGAGAACCUGAAACCCUAUGUUUACAAACUGUGGAAGUGCCUUAUGUGCACAACCGCGUACUUUUUGUAGAACGGUCCGGCGAGUCACGUUUACUGGCAAGGUUAAGAACAGAAAGUUCGGAGCCGAAGGGAAACCAAG
rnacentral:ncRNA from 1 species